AAUAACUAGUCCACGGUGUUAGACAUUUCGGAUCCUAUUAGGUUAGGAACUGUAAUAAAUCCACCGUAUAGAUGCUCUUCAGUACUUUGUUGACACCGGUGUAUCUGGCACCCCCCCAAAAUCACACUUAAAUCUCAACUUUGUUUUUGUCUUUAUACCAGCGUUGACGCAAUGUCCACUCUUUCUUUAAGUUGGCGAGUGGGUGGGUGUGUUUUUAAAAUCGCUCGGAAGGGGAACGCGAGAAAUCCGAGGGAAUUUUUUCGAGGUGGCCUCGGCUCGCUCCGGUCGCCUGAUGUUUCGAACGGAUUUUAAGGUUCUUCGUCGCGCCGGGAUUCUGCUGCGAUCUCACCGGAUCAUUCAGCCUGUGGACCGACGCGAGAGCUUCGCCUUGUAUAUCGCAUCCCGGUGAUGUUGCCGUUCUCCAAAAAGGACAAUAUUGCAGUUCGCAGGUCAGAGGUCAGCAAAACUUGUAUUUAGAAUAAUUUAAUAUAAAAAAAAUUGUAAAGCUGUACACUGUUCACAAUUGCACAUGAAGCCGUCCAGCUAUUGAUAGCGAUGACCGCCUGGGUAUUAACGUCAGUACUGCUAAAAUUAUAACUGCAUUUAAACACGGCAACCCAAAUAGAAGUAAUAAUACACCACAUCGGCUCUGCGGUGUAACCUUACGUCUGUGAUCAUGAUCAAAGCCAUUUCAUAUGCCACCACUGCAAUUAUGUUUAUUAAAUCCAAAAUUACAACAUCUCUGCUUUCACUUACAUGAAAUAUAUACAGUAUUACACUUCUAGUUCUCGAUCGCUGGAUCAGCUGAUGUUGUUACUGAUUCUUGAGCUUUGUGUUGUAUAGCUAAUUAUGGAUUUUUUUUUAUUCACUGUAUUAAUACAGUACAUAUAUUUGUAUUGUUUUACUAUUUUAAAUAAUUGUUCAAUUUAAUGUUUGCAAUAAAAAAGAAAUAAUUUGCUGAUGCAUAUUUUUGCUGUUUUUAUUUAUAUAAUAAUGCAAAUAAAGGAUAGUGGACAAAG